rnacentral:lncRNA from 1 species
GUCCUCUUUCAUUACAUAGAGGAAGUUAGCUUCAACAAUUAGUUUACGAAUAUCAUUACUCAAAGCAAGCUUCAGACUCUAGAAGACAUCAUAGACUUCAGCUUUUAUCGCAUGGCUUAUAUCCAAGUUACUCAUGAAAUCACUCACUUAAUAACUUAUAUUGUCUCUAAUAAGAUCCUCAACAAUAGUAGGGUCAAGACUGCCACGAGUAUAACCAUCUGUAUUAAGCUUGAACCAUUUACCUUCAGCCAACCUAUGGGGACCUGGAGGGGUCCUCCAUCACUUGUUGAUUGUGGG